rnacentral:rRNA from 1 species
GGGGACCAUCCUCCAAGGCUAAAUACUCCUGACUGACCGAUAGUGAACCAGUACCGUGAGGGAAAGGCGAAAAGAACCCCGGCGAGGGGAGUGAAAAAGAACCUGAAACCGUGUACGUACAAGCAGUGGGAGCACGCUUAGGCGUGUGACUGCGUACCUUUUGUAUAAUGGGUCAGCGACUUAUAUUCUGUAGCAAGGUUAACCGAAUAGGGGAGCCGAAGGGAAACCGAGUCUUAACUGGGCGUUAAGUUGCAGGGUAUAGACCCGAAACCCGGUGAUCUAGCCAUGGGCAGGUUGAAGGUUGGGUAACACUAACUGGAGGACCGAACCGACUAAUGUUGAAAAAUUAGCGGAUGACUUGUGGCUGGGGGUGAAAGGCCAAUCAAACCGGGAGAUAGCUGGUUCUCCCCGAAAGCUAUUUAGGUAGCGCCUCGUGAAUUCAUCUCCGGGGGUAGAGCACUGUUUCGGCAAGGGGGUCAUCCCGACUUACCAACCCGAUGCAAACUGCGAAUACCGGAGAAUGUUAUUACGGGAGACACACGGCGGGUGCUAACGUCCGUCGUGAAGAGGGAAACAACCCAGACCGCCAGCUAAGGUCCCAAAGUCAUGGUUAAGUGGGAAACGAUGUGGGAAGGCCCAGACAGCCAGGAUGUUGGCUUAGAAGCAGCCAUCAUUUAAAGAAAGCGUAAUAGCUCACUGGUCGAGUCGGCCUGCGCGGAAGAUGUAACGGGGCUAAACCAUGCACCGAAGCUGCGGCAGCGACGCUUAUGCGUUGUUGGGUAGGGGAGCGUUCUGUAAGCCUGUGAAGGUGUGCUGUGAGGUAUGCUGGAGGUAUCAGAAGUGCGAAUGCUGACAUAAGUAACGAUAAAGCGGGUGAAAAGCCCGCUCGCCGGAAGACCAAGGGUUCCUGUCCAACGUUAAUCGGGGCAGGGUGAGUCGACCCCUAAGGCGAGGCCGAAAGGCGUAGUCGAUGGGAAACAGGUUAAUAUUCCUGUACUUGGUGUUACUGCGAAGGGGGGACGGAGAAGGCUAUGUUGGCCGGGCGACGGUUGUCCCGGUUUAAGCGUGUAGGCUGGUUUUCCAGGCAAAUCCGGAAAAUCAAGGCCGAGGCGUGAUGACGAGGCACUACGGUGCUGAAGCAACAAAUGCCCUGCUUCCAGGAAAAGCCUCUAAGCAUCAGGUAACAUCAAAUCGUACCCCAAACCGACACAGGUGGUCAGGUAGAGAAUACCAAGGCGCUUGAGAGAACUCGGGUGAAGGAACUAGGCAAAAUGGUGCCGUAACUUCGGGAGAAGGCACGCUGAUACGUAGGUGAAGCGACUUGCUCGUGGAGCUGAAAUCAGUCGAAGAUACCAGCUGGCUGCAACUGUUUAUUAAAAACACAGCACUGUGCAAACACGAAAGUGGACGUAUACGGUGUGACGCCUGCCCGGUGCCGGAAGGUUAAUUGAUGGGGUUAGCGCAAGCGAAGCUCUUGAUCGAAGCCCCGGUAAACGGCGGCCGUAACUAUAACGGUCCUAAGGUAGCGAAAUUCCUUGUCGGGUAAGUUCCGACCUGCACGAAUGGCGUAAUGAUGGCCAGGCUGUCUCCACCCGAGACUCAGUGAAAUUGAACUCGCUGUGAAGAUGCAGUGUACCCGCGGCAAGACGGAAAGACCCCGUGAACCUUUACUAUAGCUUGACACUGAACAUUGAGCCUUGAUGUGUAGGAUAGGUGGGAGGCUUUGAAGUGUGGACGCCAGUCUGCAUGGAGCCGACCUUGAAAUACCACCCUUUAAUGUUUGAUGUUCUAACGUGGACCCGUGAUCCGGGUUGCGGACAGUGUCUGGUGGGUAGUUUGACUGGGGCGGUCUCCUCCUAAAGAGUAACGGAGGAGCACGAAGGUUGGCUAAUCCUGGUCGGACAUCAGGAGGUUAGUGCAAUGGCAUAAGCCAGCUUGACUGCGAGCGUGACGGCGCGAGCAGGUGCGAAAGCAGGUCAUAGUGAUCCGGUGGUUCUGAAUGGAAGGGCCAUCGCUCAACGGAUAAAAGGUACUCCGGGGAUAACAGGCUGAUACCGCCCAAGAGUUCAUAUCGACGGCGGUGUUUGGCACCUCGAUGUCGGCUCAUCACAUCCUGGGGCUGAAGUAGGUCCCAAGGGUAUGGCUGUUCGCCAUUUAAAGUGGUACGCGAGCUGGGUUUAGAACGUCGUGAGACAGUUCGGUCCCUAUCUGCCGUGGGCGCUGGAGAACUGAGGGGGGCUGCUCCUAGUACGAGAGGACCGGAGUGGACGCAUCACUGGUGUUCGGGUUGUCAUGCCAAUGGCACUGCCCGGUAGCUAAAUGCGGAAGAGAUAAGUGCUGAAAGCAUCUAAGCACGAAACUUGCCCCGAGAUGAGUUCUCCCUGACCCUUUAAGGGUCCUGAAGGAACGUUGAAGACGACGACGUUGAUAGGCCGGGUGUGUAAGCGCAGCGAUGCGUUGAGCUAACCGGUACUAAUGAACCGUGAGGCUUAACCUUACAACGCCGAAG